rnacentral:rRNA from 2 species
AACGCUGGCGGCGUGCGUAACACAUGCAAGUCGAACGAGAAUGUACUGACAGAUCCUUAGGGUGCAGAUAGUACAGGACAGUGGCGGAUGGGUGAGUAACGCGUAAGAAACCUGCCUUUCACACCGGGAUAGCAGCUGGAAACGGCUAUUAAUACCGGAUGACACUUUUUCCCCGCAUGAGGAAGAGGUUAAAGAAUUUCGGUGAAAGAUGGUCUCGCGUCUGAUUAGCUAGUUGGUGGGGUAACGGCCUACCAAGGCGACGAUCAGUAGCCGGCCUGAGAGGGUGUACGGCCACAUUGGGACUGAGACACGGCCCAAACUCCUACGGGAGGCAGCAGUGGGGAAUUUUGCACAAUGGAGGAAACUCUGAUGCAGCGACGCCGCGUGAACGAAGAAGGUCUUCGGAUUGUAAAGUUCUGUCCUGGGUGAAGAUAAUGACGGUAACUCAGGAGGAAGCCCCGGCUAACUACGUGCCAGCAGCCGCGGUAA